rnacentral:sRNA from 1 species
AGACAUCGGGGCAGCGCGCUCCUCCUCCCAGCGCCCCCGAUGAGACCGGCAACACCUCCUCCUCCCGGUUGCCGAUCAGAAUAAGCAACGCCCGCUGGAUCUCCUCCCCCAGCGGGCGUUGUUU